GGCGUGCUUAACACAUGCAAGUCGAGCGGUAAGGCCCUUCGGGGUACACGAGCGGCGAACGGGUGAGUAACACGUGGGUGAUCUGCCCUGCACUUCGGGAUAAGCCUGGGAAACUGGGUCUAAUACCGGAUAUGACCUUCGGCUGCAUGGCUGUUGGUGGAAAGGUUUACUGGUGCAGGAUGGGCCCGCGGCCUAUCAGCUUGUUGGUGGGGUAAUGGCCUACCAAGGCGACGACGGGUAGCCGACCUGAGAGGGUGACCGGCCACACUGGGACUGAGACACGGCCCAGACUCCUACGGGAGGCAGCAGUGGGGAAUAUUGCACAAUGGGCGAAAGCCUGAUGCAGCGACGCCGCGUGAGGGAUGACGGCCUUCGGGUUGUAAACCUCUUUCAGCAGGGACGAAGCGAGAGUGACGGUACCUGCAGAAGAAGCACCGGCCAACUACGUGCCAACAGCCGCGGUAAUACGUAGGGUGCAAGCGUUGUCCGGAAUUACUGGGCGUAAAGAGCUCGUAGGCGGUUUGUCGCGUCGUCUGUGAAAACUCGAGGCUCAACCUCGAGCUUGCAGGCGAUACGGGCAGACUUGAGUACUGCAGGGGAGACUGGAAUUCCUGGUGUAGCGGUGAAAUGCGCAGAUAUCAGGAGGAACA
rnacentral:rRNA from 1 species